rnacentral:rRNA from 1 species
GUUAUACCAAGUGAUUAAGUUAUACCUAUAGGUAAAAAGACAGUUAGAUUUACAUAAAUUUAGUUGGAUAAUCAUUUGUGUAAAAGUAAAAUUUGAACACAAAUAGUUAAUCUAAUAACAACUUUAUAUAUUGAAGCUGUGAUAGUCUUGAGGGAAACUGGGAUUAGAUACCCCAUUAUUCUUGACUGUAAAUAGAAUUAAUUUUACCAGAGUACUAUGAAUAGUUAAAAAUUUAAAACUCAAAGGGCUUGGCGGUGUUUUAGACCUAUCAGGGGAACCUGUCUCGUAAUCGACAAUCCACGUUAUACCUAACCUUAUUUUGUAUUCAGUUUGUAUACCGUCGUCGUCAGGUAACUUUUAAAAAUAAAGAAGUUAGCAGCAUAAACCUUUAAGUUAAAACGUCAGAUCAAGGUGCAGCUUAUAAUAAGGAGAGGAUGGGUUACAAUUAUUAAAAUUAUAAUUACGGAAAUUUAAAUGAAAAUAUAUCUUUAAGGAGGACUUGAAAGUAAACUAAAGUACAUAAAUAAAUUGAAUAAGGCUCUG